rnacentral:rRNA from 1 species
GCAAGUCGAGCGCGCCCUUCGGGGUUAGUGGCGGACGGGUGAGUAACGCGUGAGGAUCUGCCCAAAGGACCGGGACAACAGUUAGAAAUGGCUGCUAAAACCGGAUGUGCCGAGAGGUGAAAUAUUUAUAGCCUUUGGAUGAGCUCGCGUCUGAUUAGCUAGUUGGUGGUGUAAAGGACUACCAAGGCGACGAUCAGUAGCUGUUCUGAGAGGAAGAUC